AUGCAUGCAAGUCGAGCGAAGCUUUUCAGUAGUCUACUACAGAAAAUGACUGAGCGGCGAACGGGUGAGUAACGCGUGAGCAAUCUACCUUAGUUACAGGGAUAGCCCGAGGAAACUCGGAUUAAUACCUGAUAUUCUUUAAAUUUCGCAUGAAAUUAAAAGGAAAGGUCAGCCGAACUAAGAUGAGCUCGCGUUCUAUCAGCUAGUUGGUGAGGUAAAAGCUCACCAAGGCAACGACGGAUAGCUGGUCUGAGAGGACGAUCAGCCACACUGGGACUGAGACACGGCCCAGACUCCUACGGGAGGCUGCAGCAGGGAAUAUUGCGCAAUGAGCGAAAGCUUGACGCAGCGACACCGCGUGUGGGAUGACGGAUCUAGGUUUGUAAACCACUUUCAGGAGGGAAGGAAAUGACGGUACCUCCACAAGAAGCCCCGGCCAACUACGUGCCAGCAGCCGCGGUAAUACGUAGGGGGCGAGCGUUGUCCGGAUUUAUUGGGCGUAAAGAGCUCGUAGGCGGUUCAACAAGUCGGUCGUAAAAGUUCAGGGCUCAACCCUGAAAUGUCGAUCGAUACUGUUGUGACUAGGAUACGGUAGAGGUGAGUGGAAUUCCGAGUGUAGCGGUGAAAUGCGUAGAUAUUCGGAGGAACACCAAUUGCGAAGGCAGCUCACUGGGCCGCUAUCGACGCUGAGGAGCGAAAGCUAGGGGAGCAAACAGGAUUAGAUACCCUGGUAGUCCUAGCUGUAAACGAUGGAUACUAGACGUAGGAACUGGAUUGACGGUUUCUGUGUCGUAGCUAACGCGUUAAGUAUCCCGCCUGGGGAGUACGGUCGCAAGACUAAAACUCAAAGGAAUUGACGGGACCCCGCACAAGCGGCGGAGCAUGCGGCUUAAUUCGAUGAUACCCGUAGAACCUUACCUGGACUUGACAUAUAGGGUCAAGCUAUAGAGAUAUAGUGUGCAUUAGC
rnacentral:rRNA from 1 species